GACAAAGUGAGGUGAAGGACAUAAGCAUUGUGACAUAGUGUUUGGCUACUAUUGACCUGUAGAGGACUGGUCAGAAGAAGGAUCACCUGCUUCUGGACUGACCAGGAGUAACUGAAACAGUGGAAGGUGAAACCUCAGAUAAGGGGACUACUGUACUGUCAAGCAGGCUGAAGAGGUUCUCACAGCUUUUACUGCUUUAAAAGUGGAUUGAGAAUAGUCACUUCAUUCAGGGAGGACGGAACACACGUGACAAUUAACAGCAUUAACCUCUACAGCAUUGGUCUGCAUUUCUGUUCAAAAAUUGACGAAAAAUGGUUAACCACAACACAAAUGCAGCUUUCCUAAAAUUGCCAUUACAGACUUCUGCCUCAAAUGCCUAAAAGGUACAUUUUAAUUUUGUAUAUGCCUAAUAAAUUUCAGUAGUCGUUUCUAAUGAAUAUAUUA
rnacentral:lncRNA from 1 species